GAAUCCCCAAUGGGUACAAUUUAGAUUUCUGGUGUCCCCGCCGUGAUGUCGCUGAAAUAUUGCUAAAAGCGGCGUAAAACCAAUAUCAUCAGUCAGUCAGAUACAUGUAAUUGACUGUACAUCAGUAG